rnacentral:rRNA from 1 species
AGUGAACGCUGGCGGUAGGCCUAACACAUGCAAGUCGAACGGCAGCACAGUAAGAGCUUGCUCUUACGGGUGGCGAGUGGCGGACGGGUGAGGAAUACAUCGGAAUCUACUUUUUCGUGGGGGAUAACGUAGGGAAACUUACGCUAAUACCGCAUACGACCUACGGGUGAAAGCAGGGGAUCUUCGGACCUUGUGCGAUUGAAUGAGCCGAUGUCGGAUUAGCUAGUUGGGGGGGUAAAGGCCCACCAAGGCGACGAUCCGUAGCUGGUCUGAGAGGAUGAUCGGCCACACUGGAACUGAGACACGGUCCAGACUCCUACGGGAGGCAGCAGUGGGGAAUAUUGGACAAUGGGCGCAAGCCUGAUCCAGCCAUACCGCGUGGAUGAAGAAGGCCUUCGGGUUGUAAAGCCCUUUUGUUGGGAAAGAAAAGCAGCAGGUUAAAACCCCGCUGUUCUGACGGUACCCAAAGAAUAAGCACCGGCUAACUUCGUG